CGGAUCGGAGUCUGCAACCCGACUCCGUGAAGCUGGAUUCGCUAGUAAUCGCGCAUCAGCCAUGGCGCGGUGAAUACGUUCCCGGGCCUUGUACACACCGCCCGUCAAGCCAUGGGAGCCGGGGGGACCUGAAGUCCGUAACCGCGAGGAUCGGCCUAGGGUAAAACUGGUGACUGGGGCUAAGUCGUAACAAGGUAGCCGUACCGGAAGGUGCGGCUGGAACACC
rnacentral:rRNA from 1 species